GUGUCCUUAGCCAAGUCUGGUAAGGCGGCGGGUUGCAACCCCGUGAUGCGCUGGUUCAAAUCCGGCAGGACACUCCA
rnacentral:tRNA from 1 species